rnacentral:rRNA from 1 species
UAUCCAACAUCGAGGUCUUAAACUUUUAUUUUAAUAAGUUCUCUUAAAAAAUAUAAAGCUGUUAUCCCUAGAGUAUUUAGUCAAUUUUUCUUUAUAAAAAGUUCUUUUAUAAAUUUUUUUAUUUUUAUUUUAUUAAUUUUAUUUCCCCAACUAAAUGAAAAUUUUCAUUAAAAUUCUAGGGUCUUUUUGUCUUGGAAUAAACAUUGUUAUUUUCAACAAUUUUAUAAUUUAUAUUUUUUAUAAAAUAAAUUUUUAGUUAGUCCCUUCAUACAAGUUACCAAUUAAGUAGCUAAUGAUUUCGCUACCUUAGUGU